AACCUCCGCAAUGUGAGAAAUCGCGACGGGGGGAUCCCAAGUGCCAUUCUUAACGGGAUGGCUUUUCAUUAGUGUAAAGAGCUUUUGGAAUAAGAGCUGGGCAAGACCGGUGCCAGCCGCCGCGGUAACACCGGCAGCUCUAGUGGUAACAAUUUUUAUUGGGCCUAAAGCGUCCGUAGCCGGUUUAAUAAGUCUCUGGUGAAAUCCUGUAGCUUAACUGUGGGAAUUGCUGGAGAUACUAUUAGACUUGAGACCGGGAGAGGUUAGAGGUACUCCCAGGGUAGAGGUGAAAUUCUGUAAUCCUGGAAGGACCGCCUGUUGCGAAGGCGUCUAGCUGGAACGGUUCUGACGGUGAGGGACGAAAGUUAGGGGCGCGAACCGGAUUAGAUACCCGGGUAGUCCUAGCUGUAAACGAUGCGGACUUGGUGUUGGGGUGGCUUUGAGCUGCUCCAGUGCCGAAGGGAAGCUGUUAAGUCCGCCGCCUGGGAAGUACGGUCGCAAGACUGAAACUUAAAGGAAUU
rnacentral:rRNA from 1 species